AUUGAACGCUGGCGGCAGGCUUAACACAUGCAAGUCGAGCGGGGGAGGUUGCUUCGGUAACUGACCUAGCGUCGGACGGGUGAGUAAUACUUAGGAAUCUGCCUAUUAAUGGGGGACAACAUCUCGAAAGGGAUGCUAAUACCGCAUACGCCCUACGUGGGAAAGCAGGGGAUCACUUGUGACCUUGCGUUAAUAGAUGAGCAUAAGUAGGAUUAGCUAGUUGGUGGGGUAAAGGCCUACCAAGGCGACGAUCUGUAGCGGGUCUGAGAGGAUGGUCCGCCACACUGGGACUGAGACACGGCCCAGAAUCCUACGGGAGGCAGCAGUGGGGAAUAUUGGACAAUGGGGGGAACCCUGAUCCAGCCAUGCCGCGUGUGUGAAGAAGGCCUUAUGGUUGUAAAGCACUUUAAGCGAGGAGGAGGCUCUUUUGGUUAAUACCCAAGAUGAGUGGACGUUACUCGCAGAAUAAGCACCGGCUAACUCUGUGCCAGCCGCCGCGGUAACAC
rnacentral:rRNA from 1 species